rnacentral:rRNA from 1 species
GAUGAACGCUGGCGGCGUGCCUAAUACAUGCAAGUCGAGCGAAUGGAUUAAGAGCUUGCUCUUAUGAAGUUAGCGGCGGACGGGUGAGUAACACGUGGGUAACCUGCCCAUAAGACUGGGAUAACUCCGGGAAACCGGGGCUAAUACCGGAUAACAUUUUGAACCGCAUGGUUCGAAAUUGAAAGGCGGCUUCGGCUGUCACUUAUGGAUGGACCCGCGUCGCAUUAGCUAGUUGGUGAGGUAACGGCUCACCAAGGCAACGACGCGUAGCCGAACUGAGAGGGUGAUCGGCCACACUGGGACUGAGACACGGCCCAGACUCCUACGGGAGGCAGCAGUAGGGAAUCUUCCGCAAUGGACGAAAGUCUGACGGAGCAACGCCGCGUGAGUGAUGAAGGCUUUCGGGUCGUAAAACUCUGUUGUUAGGGAAGAACAAGUGCUAGUUGAAUAAGCUGGCACCUUGACGGUACCUAACCAGAAAGCCACGGCUAACUACGUGCCAGCCGCCGCUGUAA